AACAGAAGUGCUGAGCAUUGACCAAGCCUAGAUAUGCCUGAACUCUUCUAGGUUCCAAAAAGUUUUAACGAUAAAACUCCAUUUUGUGUCUCAGCAAAGCUUAGCCCCAAGUAGAGAGGAUGGCAAGGUUAGGCCAGAGAGGACUAAAGUAGCCUACUAAGACUGAAGACCUGUGAGUGGCCUACUGGUCUCAGUGGGAAGGGGUCUUUGCUUUGAAUGGUGGAAAAAUAUUACUAAGAUCAAAUACCAAUUCAGGAGGAGGGAGUCUAAUAGGUCUGUCGAAAUGUGUCUUCUACUCACCUUACCUCCACACAGUUGGGCACUGGACAGAACGAGAUGCUAGUCUUGGGGCAUACAUAAAAGUGCUUGAUGAACUCUGCAAAAUCCAGACCCAAGUGAAGGGAAGACUACGGACAAUUCUGUCUUCAUCCCUAUAUUCCUGGCAACUCAUCAGGGUUCCUUAAUACAAGGGUUACUACCUGGACCUACCAAGCCAUUUUCAAGACUUCCUGUGUUGCCUUUUUUCCCAUUAACAAGGCAUACAACCUAGCUCCAAAGUCAAGGAGCCUGGAUCCAUGUACCUGCUCGUCUCUAAAAUGCAGACCCAAGACAGCAAGACUUCUCAAAGCCAAAAAAAAAAAAAAGGCUCCUUGCCUUGAAAUAAGAAAAGCUCUUCUUCCCAGAAUCCAAUCUAGUCAGACUUCUGAACUAGAUGACAUACUCCUCCUUAGGAAGAUAAGCAAACUACUAUAUGAAAGACAAAAGAGGGAGAUAAAUGACUUCUUUGCAACAAACUAAACAUAUAGGUACUAUAGCAAUGAAGAUUUACAAAGUGCUAAUGUGAUGGGCAUUAUUACUGCAAUGGGAAAAAAGAAAGCCUGGUGAUUUAGUGAUAGUCUUAGCUUAGUUACCCAACCAAGCUUUUGUUAUUUUGGCAUUCAAUCUCUACUGCACCAAGGUUCCCUGCAAAAACCAGAUUCAAAAAUUAAAACAAUUCACUUAAUGAAGUACAAGAGAACAAUGUUCAGAAUCCUUGUGUAUAUUUUUUGAUGCUCUUAACAUUAAGUGGCCAGCUCUCUUAGCCCAAGAUUGAUGUGUUUCCCAAGAUAGGAAUUUCAACGCUAAAACUGGAAAGUCCAGGCAAACUGGGACGGUUCGUUACC